AACGAACGCUGGCGGCAUGCCUAACACAUGCAAGUCGAACGAGAUCUUCGGGUCUAGUGGCGCACAGGUGCGUAACGCGUGGGAAUCUGCCCUUUGGUUCGGAAUAACAGUUGGAAACGACUGCUAAUACCGGAUGAUGACGAAAGCCCAAAGAUUUAUCGCCAGAGGAUGAGCCCGCGUAGGAUUAGCUAGUUGGUGUGGUAAAGGCGCACCAAGGCGACGAUCCUUAGCUGGUCUGAGAGGAUGAUCAGCCACACUGGGACUGAGACACGGCCCAGGCUCCUACGGGAGGCAGCAGUGGGGAAUAUUGGACAAUGGGCGAAAGCCUGAUCCAGCAAUGCCGCGUGAGUGAUGAAGGCCUUAGGGUUGUAAAGCUCUUUUACCCGGGAUGAUAAUGACAGUACCGGGAGAAUAAGCUCCGGCUAACCCCGUGCCAGCCGCCGCCGUAAAAC
rnacentral:rRNA from 1 species